CUACUUAACAAAACAGAAAAUGCAAAUAAAGCAACUAACAGACCAAUCUUUGCAACUCAAUACAACAGUAGUACUAAGUAAAUGCAUUGCACAAUGGCCAACACACAAGCCCGCCGUACAUUUAUACAGCUAUUAACACACAUCCGAUCCUUAAACAAUAAAACAAACACUCAAGUACAGUACGUUAUCUCAGUUCACAACCCCCCCCCCCUCUCACGGCUCAACCAUUUUUUACCCCAAGUCUCAAAAAA